rnacentral:rRNA from 1 species
UGGGGAAUUUUGGACAAUGGGGGAAACCCUGAUCCAGCCAUCCCGCGUGUGCGAUGAAGGCCUUCGGGUUGUAAAGCACUUUUGGCAGGAAAGAAACGUCGCGGGUUAAUACCCCGCGAAACUGACGGUACCUGCAGAAUAAGCACCGGCUAACUACGUGCCAGCAGCCGCGGUAAUACGUAGGGUGCAAGCGUUAAUCGGAAUUACUGGGCGUAAAGCGUGCGCAGGCGGUUCGGAAAGAAAGAUGUGAAAUCCCAGAGCUUAACUUUGGAACUGCAUUUUUAACUACCGGGCUAGAGUGUGUCAGAGGGAGGUGGAAUUCCGCGUGUAGCAGUGAAAUGCGUAGAUAUGCGGAGGAACACCGAUGGCGAAGGCAGCCUCCUGGGAUAACACUGACGCUCAUGCACGAAAGCGUGGGGAGCAAACAGGAUUAGAUACCCUGGUAGUCCACGCCCUAAACGAUGUCAACUAGCUGUUGGGGCCUUCGGGCCUUGGUAGCGCAGCUAACGCGUGAAGUUGACCGCCUGGGGGAGUACGGUC